AUUGAACGCUGGCGGCACGCCUAACACAUGCAAGUCGAGCGGCAGCGCGAUCAGUAGCAAUACUGAUUGGCGGCGAGCGGCGGACGGGUGAGUAACACGUAGGAACCUGCCCAGAAGUGGGGGAUAACUAAUGCAAACGUUAGCUAAUACCGCAUACAUUCGGGAGAAGAAAGCUGCAGCAAUGUGGCGCUUUUGGAGGGGCCUGCGUACGAUUAGCUAGUUGGUGAGGUAAUGGCUCACCAAAGCGAUGAUCGUUAACUGGUCUGAGAGGACGACCAGUCACACUGGGACUGAGACACGGCCCAGACUCCUACGGGAGGCAGCAGUGGGGAAUCUUGGACAAUGGGGGAAACCCUGAUCCAGCGAUGCCGCGUGAGUGAAGAAGGCCCUCGGGUCGUAAAGCUCUUUAGGCUGGGAAGAAGGUUGAUUGAGGAAAUGCUUUCAACUUGACGGUACCAGCAGAAUAAGCACCGGCAAA
rnacentral:rRNA from 1 species